AGUGGCGCACGGGUGCGUAACGCGUGGGAACCUGCCCUUAGGUUCGGAAUAACUCAGAGAAAUUUGAGCUAAUACCGGAUAAUGUCUUCGGACCAAAGAUUUAUCGCCUUUGGAUGGGCCCGCGUUGGAUUAGCUAGUUGGUGGGGUAAAGGCCUACCAAGGCGACGAUCCAUAGCUGGUCUGAGAGGAUGAUCAGCCACACUGGGACUGAGACACGGCCCAGACUCCUACGGGAGGCAGCAGUGGGGAAUAUUGGACAAUGGGCGAAAGCCUGAUCCAGCAAUGCCGCGUGAGUGAUGAAGGCCUUAGGGUUGUAAAGCUCUUUUACCAGGGAUGAUAAUGACAGUACCUGGAGAAUAAGCCCCGGCUAACUUCGUGCCAGCAGCCGCGGUAAUACGAAGGGGGCUAGCGUUGUUCGGAAUUACUGGGCGUAAAGCGCACGUAGGCGGCUUUUUAAGUCAGGGGUGAAAUCCCGGGGCUCAACCCCGGAACUGCCCUUGAAACUGGGAAGCUAGAAUCUUGGAGAGGCGAGUGGAAUNCCGAGUGUAGAGGUGAAAUUCGUAGAUAUUCGGAAGAACACCAGUGGCGAAGGCGACUCGCUGGACAAGUAUUGACGCUGAGGUGCGAAAGUGUGGGGAGCAAACAGGAUUAGAUACCCUGGUAGUCCACACCGUAAACGAUGA
rnacentral:rRNA from 1 species